CCAGGACUUCGGUCCUGGGGACAGCGGCGAACGGGUGAGUAACACGUGGGUAAUCUGCCCUCGGUUCUGGGAUAGCCCGGGGAAACCCGGAUUAAUACCGGAUAGCCUCUCGAGUUCUCGGACUCGUGAGAAAAGGUAGCUUUGGCCUCCGGCCGAGGAGGAGCCUGCGGCGGAUUAGCUUGUUGGCGGGGUAACGGCCCACCAAGGCGACGAUCCGUAGCUGGUCUGAGAGGACGAUCAGCCACACUGGGACUGAGACACGGCCCAGACUCCUACGGGAGGCAGCAGUAGGGAAUCUUGCGCAAUGGGCGAAAGCCUGACGCAGCGACGCCGCGUGGGGGAAGAAGGCCUUCGGGUUGUAAACCUCUUUCAGGAGGGACGAAGCCACUCGGGUUAAUAGCCCAGAGGGUGACGGUACUUCCAGAAGAAGCCCCGGCUAACUACGUGCCAGCAGCCGCGGUAAUACGUAGGGGGCAAGCGUUGUCCGGAUUUAUUGGGCGUAAAGAGCGUGUAGGCGGCCAGGUAGGUCUGCUGUGAAAACUCGAGGCUCAACCUCGAGCUGUCGGCGGAAACCCUUUGGCUAGAGUCCGGAAGAGGAGAGUGGAAUUCCUGGUGUAGCGGUGAAAUGCGCAGAUAUCAGGAAGAACACCUAUGGCGAAGGCAGCUCUCUGGGACGGUACUGACGCUGAGACGCGAAAGCGUGGGGAGCGAACAGGAUUAGAUACCCUGGUAGUCCACGCCGUAAACGAUGGGUGCUAGGUGUGGGCGGUGUCGACUCCGUCCGUGCCGAAGCUAACGCAUUAAGCACCCCGCCUGGGG
rnacentral:rRNA from 1 species